rnacentral:lncRNA from 1 species
AAAAAGAUUUAUAUUCCAACAGUCUUUCUACAAUGAGUUAUAAAUAAAUGAAAUUUGCGAGUUUAUUUUCGCUUCGCUUGCUGCGGUCUUCGUCUCCCGAUAUUUUUCAGCCUUCCGGUCACGUGACUUCCGCUUAUAAAGUAAGGCUAGGUAUACGUAUACGUACGAUAUAUACAUCACUAUGUAGUCAUCAGAGAAGAGAGAACCGGUCUUCUGCUAUUUAAAAUUUUUUUUAAUAUAAACAAAUCUAUGUUGAAUCAAUCAAUUAUAAUUUGUGAGUGAAAAAGUUAAUACUUUUAACCAAGAUACUAUACUAGCAUCACAAUUACCACUUUUGGAGUGCGAUUUGCUGCAUGGAGUUUCAGUGCGACAAACUCCAUCAUUUUCAGCAGUCAAUCAAAUUAACGGGUUAAAUGAGAAUGGUGACUGGUUAAGAGGCAUCAUCGUAAGAACAAUAACUGGCUGUUUUACUAUGCUCUCAACUAUGCUGCUGUUGCUACUGGCUUUACUUUUCCACACAUUUGGUUUAAUCAAAUAGGGCAAGGACAAGGUUCAUAGACGAGACAGCAUCCAUAAAGUAGAUACGGAGGAUAAUGAUAACCAGUCAAUAAGAGUCACAAGAGGUCUACAAGAGGACAUUUGUAAACAUUGGUAAACCAUAUAACAGUUGUGCACUUGCAGCAGCAGGAUCAUAUUUUUCUCAGUUUAAUCACUUCAUCUUACAUACUAUGUAUCUUAAUUCUUACGGUUAAUUUAUCAACAGCAUACAUUGUCAAAAUCCAAGAGAGUUCGUUCUCCAGUGCUUAGUUCUUCAUUUCAAACUUUUAAUUUCAAAAAGGUUGCUGCUUAACGUGCUACUACAUAAGCCUGAUAAAUUCAUGCUGGUAGCAAUUUUUCCUAUAGAAAAUUUAGUACUGGGAACAAAUUGAAAGUUUUAAUUCAAAGUGCUAAAACUUUUGGAAUCAGCUGGACUGCAAAAAAUUCUACAGAAUAAGAUCAAUUUGAGGAUAAGAAGGAGCCAAAUAUUCCAUUACAAGUGACAUCGGAUCUUAAGUCUGUAUGGAAACAUUUAACCUACAAAAUUUAUAGGACUUCAAUAUUUUUUACCAGCAAAAGGAAGUCUUUAGCAAGGAGUUAUCAUUGUAAACUUAUCCAAACAAAAAAAUUGACAAUUAUGUACAACUAUUAUUACUUGAAUUUGAAACUCUCUACCCUUCUGAUGCUGUACCUUCCAGGCGCCUUAAAACUAGUAAAGCUACUGAUAUCAUUGUGUGUGCAUUCUCAAAUAUCUUGAGAAACUUGGAUCAAGCUAACCAGUGUUUUUGAGUAAGCUCGAGAUCCUUACAAAAUUAAGUCAAUGCCAAAAUAUUACAAACUAUCAGGAAUGAAAAUAAAAACUCAAUUCAAGAAUGAACAUAUGGAUUUAUUCAAAGUAUGAGGAUGCUAUACAUAAAAUAUAAGAAUAAUAUAAAAUAAUUCAAGAAGUCAGCGAGAGCUGUUAUAAACUAUCAGCAUUUAAUAAAAUUAAAAGUUGAAUCUGUUAAUGAAUUAUAUUCCGUACAAAUAGCAAAAUUAUCAAUUAAUUUAUAUGAAAAAUUUCUUUGUAAAUAAAAUAAAAAUUUGAAAUGAUAUAA